GGGAGACUGUCUGGGCUGCAGACAGUCUCCCCACAACCGGAGCCACGCUGAUCGCCGCCGGGGGAACGACGGCGAUCAGGUAAGUAGCUCUGACCAUUAGGACGGUUCAGGACCGUCAUCGGUCGGCAACGCAAAAAUGCAGAUGACGGUCCUGAACCGUCCUCGGUCCUUAAGGGGUUAACAUGGGAGUAGUAUAAAUAUUUUGAGUCUUUGAGAGUUCUGACAAAUGCAGGUGAUACCAUGUCUGUGUAAUCUGGUACAAAUGUUCUAUAAGCGUAUAAGAGAGAAAUUCCAUUGACAGGUUUCAUAUGUUGCAACUGGUUAAUGCAAGUGUUAUACAAAUGUUUAAGUCAAACGCGUUAUAUGGCCGUUCGGGAUCCCUUCUGUAAAAAAUAAAAAAUAAGUCCUUUGGCACCAAAACUCUUAAAUAAAUCUGAUACAAACUAAAAUUGGUAUACCCUACAAUAAUAUGUUCUGAAUACAGCUGUUAGAAGUUUAUCCUGUGUGAAUGGUGAUUGUGAUACAUGUGUGCUUUGGUUACUUAUUUUGAAGUAUGCAGUUUAAUGUAUGUUAAUGGGUAUUUUGCUGUGUU